GACGAACGCUGGCGGCGUGCUUAACACAUGCAGGUCGAACGGAAAGGCCCUGCUUUUGUGGGGUGCCCGAGUGGCGAACGGGUGAGUAACACGUGAGUAACCUGCCCUUGACUUUGGGAUAACUUCAGGAAACUGGGGCUAAUACCGGAUAGGAGCUCCUGCUGCAUGGUGGGGGUUGGAAAGUCUCGGCGGUUGGGGAUGGACUCGCGGCUUAUCAGCUUGUUGGUGGGGUAGGGGCUUACCAAGGCUUUGACGGGUAGCCGGCCUGGGAGGGUGACCGGCGUCCAUGGGCCUGCGGUACGGCGCAGAGUGCUACGGGAGGCAGCAGGGGGGAAUCUGGCACAGUGGGCGCGAGCGUGAUGCAGCAACGCCGCGUGCGUGAUGACCGCCUGCGGGGUGUGAACCGCUUUCGCCUGUGACGAAGCGUGAGUGACGGUACUGAGUGAAUAAGCACCGGCUAACUACGUG
rnacentral:rRNA from 1 species